AGGCAGGCGGGAAUUCUUAGUGUAGCGGUGAAAUGCGUAGAUAUUAGGAAGGAGCACCAAGUGGCGAAGGCGGCCUGCUGGGCUUUUACUGACGCUGAGGCUCGAAAAGUGUGGGGAGCAAACAGGAUAAGAUUUCCUUGGUAGUCCACACCGUAAACGAUGAUUAUUAGGUGUGGGGGGGUGUGACCCCUUCCGUGCCGGAGUUAACACAAUAAGUAAUCCACCUGGGGAGUACGGCCGCAAGGUUGAAACUCAAAAGAAUUGACGGGGGCCCGCACAAGCAGUGGAGUAUGUGGUUUAAUUUGAAGCAACGCGAAGAACCUUACCAGGUCUUGACAUCGUGCGCAUAGCUCAGAGAUGAGUGAAGCCCUUCGGGGCGCAUAGACAGGUGAUGCAUGGUUGUCGUCAGCUCGUGUCGUGAGAUGUUGGGUUAAGUCCCGCAACGAGCGCAACCCUUGUAUUUAGUUGUUACGCAAGAGCACUCUAGAUAGACUGCCGUUGACAAAACGGAGGAAGGUGGGGAGGACGUCAAAUCAUCAUGCCCCUUACGACCUGGGCCACACACGUACUACAAUGGCGUGCAACAGAGGGAAGCAAAACAGCGAUGUGGAGCAAACCCCUAAAACGCGUCCCAGUUCAGAUUGCAGGCUGCAACCCGCCUGCAUGAAGUCGGAAUUGCUAGUAAUCGCGGAUCAGCAUGCCGCGGUGAAUACGUUCCCGGGCCUUGUACACACCGCCCGUCA
rnacentral:rRNA from 1 species